UACAGGAGGGGGCAAGCGUUAUCCGGAAUUACUGGGCGUAAAGCGCACGCAAGCGGUCCGACAAGUCUGGCGUGAAAAUCUCCUGGCUUAACCAGGAGCGGUCGCUGGAAACUGUGGGGCUUGAGGCGAUGAGAGGGGUGCAGAAUUCCCGGUGUAGUGGUGGAAUGCGUAGAGAUCGGGAGGAAUACCAGUGGCGAAAGCGGCACCCUGGCGUCAGCCUGACGCACAUGUGCGAAAGCGUGGGGAGCGAACGGGG
rnacentral:rRNA from 1 species